GUGUGCACGCAGCAAAGAAGACCCAAUGCAGCCAAAAAUUAAUUAAUUAAUUAAUUUAAAAAAACACAAGAAGCAGGGCUAUUUCUAUGGUUGGGUAUCUGAAUAAAUCUUAUCUGUAGCGAGUAUAGACUAGAAUGAGGGUAAAGCUGUAAUUGGUCCAGCAGUUACCCAUACUAGCCAGGAUAGUGGAACGCUUAGUCACUUUUGUGGUCUGGACAACGUUCAUGUUUGGGGGAUGAUGGUGUGUCAGGGGAGGUUUGUUGGUUGUAACAAAUGUACCCCUCUGGUGGAGGAUGCUGACAGUGUGUGUGGAGGGGGGACAAAGGGAACUCUCUUUAUUUUUUGCUCAAUUUUGCUGUAAACCUAAAACUACUCUAGAAAAUAAAGUGAAUUAAUUUUAAAAAGAUGCUUGGCAAAGGAUUACUGUUGCAAAUAUAUAGAGAAUUCCUACAAACCAGUAAGACAAAAGAAAAAUAAAACAAUAGGAAACUGAGGAAAAAACUGAACUGACAGGAAGCCUGAAUGGCCCACAUGCCAAUGACAAUAUGGUCAGCCUCGAUAGCAACUGGGAGAACGUAAAGUAAAACAAUUGUAAAUGCCUUUGCACAUCUAUUGGAUCAAUUUCCUAAGACGGCCGUAACAAAUUACACAAGCUUGGUGGCUUAAAAACCAGAUGUUUAUUCUUUCACAGUUUUGGAGGGCAGGAGUCUGAAAUCAAGGUGUCACAGGGCCGUGCUCCCUCCGAAGCCUCUAGGGGAGGAUCCUUCCCACCUCUUCCGGCUUCUGAGGGUUCCAGGCAUUCCUUGGCGUGUGGCGGCAUCACUCCAGUCUCCGCCUCGUGUUCACAUGGCUUUCUUCUCUUCUGUCUCAAAUCUCUCUCUUCCUUUUUCUUAUGAGGACCCUUUUCAUUGGAUUUAGGGCUUUCCUGAACAAUCCGGGAUGAUCUCAUCUCAAGACCCUUAACUUGAUUACAUCUUGAAAGACCACUUUUCCAAAUAAGAUCAUAUUCCCAGGUUCCAGGACAUGCACAUACCUUCGUGGGGAAGGGUGGCACCAUUCAACCUGCUACACCCAUUGGCAAAAAAUAAAAAGUCCAACCAUACCAAGUGCUGGAGACCAUAUGGAACAAGGGGACUGUCAUACAAUUGUCAACAGGACUUUUAAUUAGUCUCUUUGGAGGCAGCAUCCACAAUCCUGGGAAAGUUGAAGAUGUAUGAACCGUAUCACCUGUUUCACUCCCAGAUACACACCAAGAGACGUGACCCAAUGUUACUGGCAGCAAUGUUUGUAAUCCACAAAAAGGGAGCACUUCCUAAAUGUCCACCAGCAGCGGAAUGGGUAAGUAAACUGUGGUGUGUUUAUUCAACCACAGUAUGAGUAAGUACGGAUCAUGGUGGGAAAACCUCAGAAACAGAAUGUUGAGGAACAAAGCACAUUGCAGAAAGAUAAGAAUAUGACACCAGUGGUCUAAAGUUUAAGCUAUGCAAAGCAAUCCUAUGUAACGUUCAAUGAUAGCAGAUAUACACCAAGAGCACGAUGACACAGGGUGAUAAACGUAAGGCAAAGGUCUGACGAAGCUGGGUGGUGUGUACAUGAAUGAUUAUAUGCUAUCCUGUGUGUUUUUGUGUGCUUGAAACAUCGCAUAAGGCAUAAAGAAAAAAAGAGGAUUCUGUGUGUCCCAAAUCCUAGUGUUCUCCAUAUUCUGAAGUUUAGAGCGGCUAAGAAGAGCUUGAGCUCUCAAGACCACACGUUUCCCUGGGUCCACGGUGCUAAAGCAGAGUGGUUCUGGGGUUUUCCCACACUGAGAUUCAAGCCCGUCCUGGGACCACAGCUCCCCAGCUGCCCCUCUGCCCCGUGGUGUGAGGGGCAUGCAGGCUCCUCUGGCCCUGCCUCUGCUCCUUGCCACACCCUCACCUGGCUGGGUCCUUGGGGCUGGAAAGGACACAUCAACCUUUGUCCCUCCCACCACCCCUUAGGCUUCUCACUGCCUGCAGUGCUUUGAAGUUUCUGGAAGCAUCCCACGGGGUCCGAUAACUACCUCCCAGCAACCUUGUCAGAUGGGUGUCACUUUUUUGCUUCUUUUUCCCCAUUCUAUGAAUGGAGAGACUGAGGCUCUGGGCUUUCUGGACAGGGUUGGUUCCUGUCUGAAGAGCUUCCACGUGGAAGAGGCCCGGAGGGAUGCUGCCAGGGGCCCCCAGAUCUGUCACAAACCUAUUGGGUAGCUUUUCCCAGGAAUGACCAGGGAGCAACCACCUGCUCCACCCAGGGAAUCCAGUGGCAGUUUCUAAAUCCAUCUGAACCUUGAGAUCAUUUGGGAGCUGGUUAAAAACGCUGAUGCCACCUGCUGGGGCAGAAACACAGAGUGAGCCCCUGGAAUCUUCAGGUCCCCAGGGAGGUUCGAGGGUCCCUGAAUUAAUCUGUUGAGUCCCACUGAGGAGGCCGGGGUCCUGGAGUCCUGGGCACUGCUGUUAUUUUUCCCCCCAAGAAGGAUCCCCCUCACAGGGCACCCAGCAACUUGGCUCUCUCCCUGCUCCUACCUGAGGGAAUAGAGGGUCCCUUUCUCCAGGCCCCGCCCACCAGGUGGAGAAUCAUGCCAGGUCCGUAUCUUAGGCAGCUUGGGCUGUUCUAACAAAAUACCACAAACAUUUCUUUCUUGCAGUUCUGGAGGCUGGAAGUCCAAGACCAAGGUACCAGCUGAUUAGGUUUCUCAUGGGGGCUCUUUUCUUGGCUUGCAGGUGGCUGUCUUCUCCCUAUAGCCUCUCGUGGCAGAGAGAGCCAGCAAUCUCCCUAGUGUCUCUUCUUAUUAGGGCACCGAUCUCAUCACAGGGGCCCCACCUCCUGACCUCCUCUAACCUUAAUCACCUCCCAAAGACCCCAGCUCUAAAUACCACACACUGGGGGUUAGGGCUUCAACAUAUGAAUUUGCGGAGACACCAUUCAGACCACAGGAGUCUGUCAGAUCUCACUGGAAGGUCAUGGCCUAGACCAGAGGCUGCUGCUCUGCCCUCAGAUUUGUCACAGCAAAUCCCUCACUCCCCUACCCUGGCUGGUGGUUACUUCCUGGAAAACACAGAAACCCCCAGAGGAAAUCGCCCCUCAUUCUCCCACCCCCAACUCUGCAAAGCCCCAUCCCACAUCCACACGCGCCACCCCCGGUGACAUCCCCAUCAAGGGGAUCAUCCUGUAAGCACCCAGCGUGUCCCUGGACCACCACUCGCUACCCGACCCUGCCUGUCAGCCGUCACCCAUUCUCUGCUUCCCUAGAGCAGCAGAACCUCUUGCAAGAAUCAUCUAGGGUGGUGGCUCUCAACCGGGCUGAUGUCAUUCCCCUGGGGACACUUGGCAGUGUCUGGAGACCUUUCGAGUUUUUGAGGAGGUGUGUCCCCAUAAGAGAGAGGCAGAAGGAGAUGCGACACACACGGCGAAGGCCAUGUGAGGACAGAGGCAGAGCUGGGAGGGCUGUGCUAGAAGCCGAGGAGCGCCAGCAGCCACAGAAGCCAAAGGGGCCAGGGAGGACCCUCCCCUGGAGCCUGCAGAGGGGGUGCAGCCCUGGCAGCACCUGGAUUUCGGACUUCUGUCCUCCGGGACUGGGAGACAGUAACCCCGCCGUUUCCAGCCUCCACGGUUGCGGCCGUUUGUUAGGGCAGCUGCAGGAAACUCAUCCGACGGGUUUGCAAAGCAUCUUACAAUCGUUUUAUUCUGCGUUUCGCAAUUGCUCUGGAGGUUUUUGGACAUAUUUUCAUUGGCUUGCGGGUUAUUCAGGCUGCUUACCGGUUCCAUUCAGUUUAGUUUGUUUCGUUUUUUUGUUUGUUUGUUUGUUUUUUGGCCGCGAGGUGAGGCUUUCGGGAUCUCCCCGACCAGGGACUGAACCCACGCCCUCGGCAGUGAAAGCGCAGAGUCCUAACCGCUGGACCGCCAGGGGAUUCCCUAGUUUGUUUUAACAGGUUUACUGAGAUACAAUUCACCCCUUUGAAGUGCAUAAUCCGAUGGUUCCAGGGAGGUGGGCCUCGUCGGUCUCUAGCCCCCGCGCCCUGCUCUUAGACUGGACUUGCCAGCCCUGGCUUCCCUUCUGGUGUCUUGUGUGGCUCCCGCUGGCCUGGUUCCAGUCACAGCCAGGGAUGAUGCCCACGAUGCCAGGGGGUUCUCACGCUGUGCCUGGAACAGCUCUCCACAGCCCUUGGCCGCGGGUGUUUUGGUCCCUUGGGACAGGCUGGGGGUUGCUGGGGGGACAGGGUCAGACCAUACAUGAGGGAUAGCGGUGGGGCCUGAGCCCAUUCUGCUGCUUCCCAGAACCUAGCAGGUGCUCAAGAAAGGCUCGUGGAAACAUUAGUAGCCAACACUUAAGAGCGCCCGAUUUUGCGCCAGGAGCUAUGAAAUGUCUUGUCUAUUCUUUCAUCUUCUCAUGUGAUCCUCUCAAGAACCACGACAAUUAAGUGCAAAUGUUACCCCAGGGAGGCUCAGGGAGGUUAAGUAACUUGCCUAGGGUCACACAGUAAACAGAAGAAUAAGGGAAAAAAGGAAUGAGGUGUGCCGCCCUGCAGCCACAGGUUCCCCAGCCUGUCCAGGCUCUCUCUGCAGCUGCCAGGGCCCCUCCCUCUGCCCCAAGGAUGCCAGUCGGGCACAUUAGGAGCAUGCAAAUGAAGGAGCCCUGCAGGGUGGGGAUGGGGGCAUAGACUUGAGGACCUGGUGCAGGGGCUUCGGUGGGCUGCUGAGGGUGCAGGCUGAGGGCGUCCUGGAGGAGGCUGCCAGGGUCCCACUGAUAUUUUCAUCCUGUAACCUUUCUCCUUAUCAGGUAACUUUCUGCCAGGCCCUCCCCAGUGAUCACAGAGCAGCCUGGAGUUGCCAGACCUGUUCCCAGGCCAGCUGUGCCAGGUCAGGUGAGGCAGCUGCCAGAGGCGCCGAUGUAUAAGCCAGGAGGAGGCCAGACUAGCUGGAGCUUCGCAUUGGAUGCUCACUGUAGAAAAUUUGGAAGCUGCAGAAAGAUGCUGAGAAGUCAAAAAAAGUGCAGGGCACACAUUGAUGCUGGUGAGGAGGUGCUGCAGGGCCACCAGACCUGGGACUGAAGCCACCACGUAGCAGCUGUGAGGAGGGCAAAUUGGAUCACCUCUCAGAGCCUCGGAUUGCUCUUCCUUACAACGAGGUAACAAAAAGACCUUUGAGGCUUAAAUGAGACGAUGCACGCUGAGCACUGGGCCCCAGGCGCCAGCUCUGCUUCCCCUCCCGCCUGUGUUCUCGUGCCCACAGAAUAGAUCCCAAAUCCCUAUGUGAAGGUCCUGUCAGGCUGCUGACCUGCCCAGUUGCAUCUUGUUUCUCUAAAUCUGCUCCCACAGGGCCUUUGCAUGUGCCGGCCCCUCUGUCCCGACGCCUGCCCUCCGAGGGCCCUGCCCUGCCCCUUUCCCACUGCAGUUGGGGCCUCUGC